AUUGAACGCUGGCGGCAGGCCUAACACAUGCAAGUCGAACGGUAACAGGAAGUAGCUUGCUUCUUUGCUGACGAGUGGCGGACGGGUGAGUAAUGUCUGGGAAACUGCCUGAUGGAGGGGGAUAACUACUGGAAACGGUAGCUAAUACCGCAUAACGUCGCAAGACCAAAGAGGGGGACCUUCGGGCCUCUUGCCAUCGGAUGUGCCCUGAUGGGAUUAGCUAGUAGGUGGGGUAACGGCUCACCUAGGCGACGAUCCCUAGCUGGUCUGAGAGGAUGACCAGCCACACUGGAACUGAGACACGGUCCAGACUCCUACGGGAGGCAGCAGUGGGGAAUAUUGCGCAAUGGGCGAAAGCCUGAUGCAGCCAUGCCGCGUGUAUGAAGAAGGCCUUCGGGUUGUAAAGUACUUUCAGCGGGGAGGAAGGGAGUAAAGUUAAUACCUUUGCUCAUUGACGUUACCCGCAGAAGAAGCACCGGCUAACUCCGUG
rnacentral:rRNA from 1 species